rnacentral:rRNA from 1 species
UACGGGGGGGGCAAGCGUUGUUCGGAAUUACUGGGCGUAAAGGGCUCGUAGGCGGCCAACUAAGUCAGACGUGAAAUCCCUCGGCUUAACCGGGGAACUGCAUCUGAUACUGGAUGGCUUGAGUUCGGGAGAGGGAUGCGGAAUUCCAGGUGUAGCGGUGAAAUGCGUAGAUAUCUGGAGGAACACCGGUGGCGAAGGCGGCAGCCUGGACCAACACUGACGCUGAGGAGCGAAAGCCAGGGGAGCAAACGGG